UGCUUGCACUCAAUUGGAAAGAGGAGUGGCGGACGGGUGAGUAACACGUGGGUAACCUACCCAUCAGAGGGGGAUAACACUUGGAAACAGGUGCUAAUACCGCAUAACAGUUUAUGCCGCAUGGCAUAAGAGUGAAAGGCGCUUUCGGGUGUCGCUGAUGGAUGGACCCGCGGUGCAUUAGCUAGUUGGUGAGGUAACGGCUCACCAAGGCCACGAUGCAUAGCCGACCUGAGAGGGUGAUCGGCCACACUGGGACUGAGACACGGCCCAGACUCCUACGGGAGGCAGCAGUAGGGAAUCUUCGGCAAUGGACGAAAGUCUGACCGAGCAACGCCGCGUGAGUGAAGAAGGUUUUCGGAUCGUAAAACUCUGUUGUUAGAGAAGAACAAGGACGUUAGUAACUGAACGUCCCCUGACGGUAUCUAACCAGAAAGCCACGGCUAACUACGUGCCAGCAGCCGCGGUAAUACGUAGGUGGCAAGCGUUGUCC
rnacentral:rRNA from 1 species